AGAGUUUGAUCCUGGCUCAGAACGAACGCUGGCGGCGUGGAUAAGACAUGCAAGUCGAACGCUGAUUGUAGGGUAGCAAUAUUCUGCAGUCGGAGUGGCGCAAGGGUGCGUAACACGUGGGCAAUUUGCCGUGAAGCUCGGAAUAACUCGCUGAAAGGCGAGCUAAUACCGAAUGUGACUAUUGGGGGGCAUCCUCUGAUAGUUAAAGCUGGGGACCGUAAGGCCUGGCACUUCUCGAUAAGCCCGCGGCCUAUCAGCUAGUUGGUUAGGUAAUGGCUCACCAAGGCUAAGACGGGUAGCUGGUCUGAGAGGACGACCAGCCUCMCUGGAACUGAGACACGGUCCAGACACCUACGGGUGGCAGCAGUCGAGAAUUUUUCACAAUGGGCGAAAGCCUGAUGGAGCGACGCCGCGUGGGGGAUGAAUGGCUUCGGCCCGUAAACCCCUGUCAUUUGCGAACAAACCUCUUUGUUGAAUAGGCAAAGAGCUGAUUGUAGCGAAAGAGGAAGGGACGGCUAACUCUGUGCCAGCAGCCGCGGUAAUAC
rnacentral:rRNA from 1 species